ensembl:misc_RNA Metazoa_SRP Metazoan signal recognition particle RNA
GCUGGGUGUGGUGGCGCAUGCCUGUAAUCCCAGCUACUCAGGAGGCUGAGGUGGGAGAAUUGCUUGAAUCUGGGAGGCAGAGGCUGCAGUGAGCUGAGAUUGCGCCACUGCACUCCAGCCUGGGUGACAGAGCGAGACUCCAUCUCUA